rnacentral:hammerhead_ribozyme from 1 species
AGCCGAAACGCCCUUCGGGGCGUCUGACCGGGGCUGACCUCCCGGCGCUGAUGAAGCAGGUCAAU